rnacentral:rRNA from 1 species
UACGUAGGGGGCUAGCGUUGUCCGGAUUUAUUGGGCGUAAAGAGCGUGUAGGCGGCCAUGUAGGUCCGGUGUGAAAACUCGAGGCUUAACCUCGAGAUGUCAUCGGAAACCAUUUGGCUAGAGUCCGGAAGAGGAGAGUGGAAUUCCUGGUGUAGCGGUGAAAUGCGCAGAUAUCAGGAAGAACACCAACGGCGAAGGCAGCUCGCUGGGACGGUACUGACACUGAGGCGCGAAAGCGUGGGGAGCAAACAGG